GUUUCGAACGUUUUUCUAGGAUAUACUAUUUUAUUAUAAUCAAAAUUACAAUAGACAAUUAUCUAUAAGUAGGUACCUAUUAAUUGUACAUCAAUAAACUAUACAUAAUUAUUUACUGUAUUAUUCUGCUGUGCAUUAACACUAUCCACUAUAAUAUAAUAUAAUAUUACGUAUGUAUUUAAAUAAUUCACGUAUAUACAAUAAGAAUACUAAACUCAAUCUCGUCGAUUGAGUCGGAAACAAGACGAAGACUUAUACAAACAGAAUGUCUAUGAUUAUUGUUAUUAACUACACAUUAUAGUAUAAUUGUACAAUACAUACACGUUAAUGCGUUAAACGAAAUGUUAGCGUUUGUGUCUUAAACAUGUUAAUUACGAUUACGUGACGUAGAUACUAAACUAGUGUUAUUGUUAUAGGUAGGUACACCGUGACUCGUGAGCACUCGUAGGCUCGACUAGAAUAGGAGACGGAGAGAUUAAUCGGGCACCCGCAGACGAAUAAAAAAAAAAAAAAAAAAAAUUGUUACAUACGUAUAUGUAUAUCAACGUUAAAACACGGUAGUCUCGGACUGCCAUUGGGUCGCGCCCGAGUUGAUUUUGAGGUUAAAGAGAGAGAAAAAAAAAAAACGCAUUUUCGAAAUUUUCGAAAACAAUUCGAGUUCCGGGGUCAUCGCGACGGCGUUUUCUUCCAUCAUUUACGGUAACGGUCGGCGCGUGGCCGUUUAGAAAAUUAACGACGUGUUAUUAAAACGACUACUCUUACGGUUAUUUUUUCGAAAAAUUAAUCGUUAGAAAAUGAAAAAAAGGCAUCGCGUCAAAAUAAUAGCGUACCACUCCCUUUAAAUUGUUUAACAAUGCGCUUGAACCCCAAAAACCGAAAACCGCCGGGCUCGUUGACAACCGAGAGCGCGCCGAUGUUUUGUCAAACGCUCGAAACGGUUUCGGUCGCAAUACUCGUGAGUGGCUGAUUGAUUUGUUCGUACAGCUGCGUGCAGAGAAUGUCGAGAAACGACCGGAUAUCGGACAGUAAGCAUCAGUAUAAAGCCGACGGGCGUAAAGAAGUAAAACGCGAUUAAAACCGUUAUUUGUCGUAUACACACAAACGUAAUAUUAUGCAACGUAAUGUUGCACGGACAUGUAACCUACGGCGUUGCAACAACGAUAUUAUUACUAGAAGAUAAAAAAAAAAAAAAGUCAUCGUAAAUAUGAAAUUAUUUUCGUAAUACUCGAAGGCGUUGUCGCCGUACUUGAACGCGGUAUACCGGAAAAAACAACGGUGGAUUCGUCGGAGGGUAUAACGGGAUUGAUUUGCGCCCCCUCCUCCGUAGUAUAGUACGAUUUUUUCUCUUGUAUCGCGGUAAAAUAUGUACAAAGUUUUCAUUGUUGUAAACGGUUUCGCCCCCACCCCCUCCAUAAAAUUAGAGUCCGGAUCCGCCUCCGGGAAAAACACCGACUCGUAUGCGGGUGCCUACACAAAUACAUACUAUCAGAAACGUUUUUCCGCACAAUACUACGGAUCCGCGGUGAAAUUUCCGAACGAAACAUUUGGCCGAAUGGAAAAAAGCGAGAUAAUAGUUUAACGUUAAUUUGAUGAACCGGUGGACGAAAAUAAAAAAGUAGGUACUUUACGGCGUCACCGCGGCCGUUUGGCGUUUCGCCGCGAGUUUUCCGAUUAGAAAACAGUAAACGGGCGAACGCGUGCACGGGUCGUGCGGCGGGAAAUUCCCACAAAUGGUGGGCACUAAAGGAAAAUGUCUCGCGCGACACACGCCCCGGGGUGCGUUCGAAAACUCGUAGAUACCUAGUUAGAGUUUACUAGUUAAGCAUUAUUUAGAUACAAUUAUCAUCGAGGGUGUACCGAAAAUUUAAAAAAUAAUUUUUUUCAAACUUAUUCAAUACUGUGAUUCGAAUAGUUUUAAAACGUAUUUUAUUCAUUAAAAAAAAAAAAAAAAAACUUUUUCUCAGUUUAAUUUUAGAGUGUAUAAUGUCUAAACAUUAAGACGUGUACUUUGUUUUCUCGAAAAACACUUCCCGUUUGUAAAAAUGCUCAGAUUUGUCAACGCGUUAAAAUGCCUAAAAUUUCUAUCCAGUGAUACUUGGUAGAAAUUAUUUUUCGAAAUUCCCAACAACUUAAGCAACAUAAACCAUUAUCAUCGUACAAUAUAUACGGUUCCCUUUAGUCAUUCGAACUUAACCUCACAUUUUUUUUUUUCAAAACAUUAUUCCUAAAAUAUUUUGAAUACUUUUCGCAAAGUGUUUGGAAUACUUCGAAAAUAUUAUUAUUGUAAAUUAGGUACUCGAAAACAUAACAGAAUAUUUUUAAAAAGUAUUUCGCUCAAGUCGGCAUCUAGAUAAAUAAUUAAUUAUCUUUCGUCUUAUCCAGAUAAUUAACAAAAUUGGCUGUCUGAGAUAAAUUUAUAAAUUAAUUUUUUGAACUAAUUUAACUAAGCUAAUAUUGUUCUUUUAUAUUUAUAAAACAUGUUAACUAAUUGAUAAAAAAAAAAAACAUGCAUAGGUAAGUUAUUAAAAAUUAAAAUUUUUAUUAUUAUUAUUAUUUUUUUAUCUAGAUAUUGUAGUGUUUUGUAUUUAUCUUUAUUUAAAUCAGUUUUUAAUUAUUUUUGCCUAACAGUGCUUGUCAGUCUUAUAAUCAAUCGCAUUCCACACACACACACACACGACUCUAAAUCAGAUUCCUCCAAACAACCGAACGAUGGUUAAAAUUGUCAAGAGCGAUAAACUGAUAACAUUGUAUUACGUUAAAUAUUAUAAUACACGCUGUGUUUUAAAUCGGUGAAUAUACCGGUUGUAUGGAUAAUUAUUGUUCGUUAAAAACAUUGAAAGGCGGACCACGAAACCUGAGAACUAUUAAGUGAAUACUGUUGAUUAAAUACAUUUUACGGCCGCCGUAGAUUCGACGGGGGAAUUAAAUUUUAACGAUUUUUAUGAAAAAUCUCGAUUAAAAAAGAAGGUUAUCGUAAUGCGAACCGAGAACAUUAUAUUAACCGAUAGGUUAAUAACGACAAUAACCAUCGUUAUUAAUGGAGGUAAAAGAUUCUAGUUUUGUUUUUUUUUAUGCCUCUCGGGUCGCUAGAGUCGAGCCGGAGUAAACGCGGUUCCCACGAUUGUUGUACGGGGCGGCACGGAGUCAUGAGUCUGAUGUCUCGGUACGACGCCGGAGUCACAACCCGAGCCUUCGUGCCG